UUGUCCCUUCGAGCAUAUCCGAUAAAAUUGAAACGAUACAUAGAAGAUUAGCACGGUCUUUGCGCAAGGAUUAUAUGCAUAGAUGGAGAAAUAAUCCAAAUUUUU
rnacentral:snRNA from 1 species